CACAUUUUUAAGAUUUCUGACAGGCAUCGUCAGGGCAUCCUGCGGGAGUGAGUGACCGGCCCCACGUCCUCCAGCGUCCCCCACCCCGGGCAUAGCUUUCUUUUUAGUAUUUGCUAAUCCAAUAAUGAAACAUGGCAUCUUGUUAUCUUUUUAAAUUUGCAGUUUUAUUUGUGAUGUUAAUCUCUGGCUCUUGAACCAGUCAAGGUGUUAACCCUUUGUGCGCUGCAUAUGCCUUUGGUUUGUAGCUUGCUUGUUGUUACUGUUUUGUUUCUGUUGGUUUUUCUUCUUGUUCUGAUUCCUUCCUGUACCCUCAGGAAUGACGUGAGGGUACCUGGGACUCUGACUGUGACAUGCUUUCCACACGCAUCUCUGUAAACAUUGGGUCCUUACUCUGGACAUUGUGUGAGAUGAAGCCCCCACGGUAGGGCCGGAGGGAGCACGAGAGCGAUCGUCAGAAGCCAAGCCGACUUGGGGGAGACCAGCUACCCUCUGCAUGUGAGGGGCAGUGGGCCUGUGGCUCGAGUGUGCCUGCUGGUGCAGCAGGGACAGGCUGGAACCACCAGUGUGGCCCCCGACCGCUGCGUGGCCAUGGGAGGGGCACCACCUCUUGGCUCACAGACCUGCUCGCCCAUGAGUGCAGCUGUGACCGUGCCAGCCUCCUGGGGUUGCUGAGGAUCAAAUGAGAACAUGCAGGUAGAGUGCUUACAGCAGCGCCUGGCAUGCAGUGAGCCCAAUUCAAAUGCUUCUGUGGUAGAAUUUGAUCUUAAUUUUAUAAAGCCCUCUGGUUGUUUCAUUACCUACAAUCACAGGUUAAUAGUUUAUAAGUGCUUCUUAAAAUUUUCCAAGUCAUGGGGUCCAAACAGGCCACACUAGACACAGCUGGCACCUGAGAGCGUCCCUGGGGUUUAUGUUCUGAGAAGCCGCUGCUCCCAGGCGAGGCCUGCACCGGGGAUUGUGAGUGGAACAGGAGCCGGGCAUUCAGAGAGGCCCUGAGGACUUGGCCACCACCAGCCGUGGCAGGAAAUGGUUGGCAAGGACAGUGUCCUAAGAAAGGAAAACCUAGAAGGAAAAUUGGACCCUCCAGAGACUGCCCAUUCGAUGAAGAAAUGUCCUUCAGACGCCAGCUUGGCCCUGCAGCCAGCACAGGAACAGACCGGAGCCUGAAGCAGCCGCCAUGUAACCAGAUAGGGCUGUGUCCAGGAACUCCAGUGCAACCGUGGCCCUUGGCUGAGGUGAUACAUGAAAGUAACCAUCACAACACCGAGCCACCUACAGGACUCCUCCACCUCGCUGGCUAACAGGCACCCCCAACGUAGUCAGAAACAGACAUCCGCUCUCCCUCCCAAGCUCAUCAGAGGACAGGACAGACCUGCUGGCCAUCACACAGGCGGGUCCUUGGACCAUCUCUGGGCCUUUCUCCCAUGCCCCCACGCCAGUCUAGCAUCACGUUUUGCUGGUUCUAUCUGCGUGAACACGCUGUGCGCUGAAAAAUUCAAGGUGAGGAUCAGUGGGUAUCAACUUGCUACCACUUUCCAAAAACAGAAGAUUGCUCACAGCUGCAGUUUUGCACAUAGGUUUACAUGAGAAAGUAACCAGGCAGGAGGAGCUUGGGGGAGGGACACUGGACACUGUAUGUUUCUUUAUACUUUUUGAUGUUUGAGCCAACUAUAACCUAUUCAGAAUUUCUAAACAGAUAAGCCCACAAUCCAAAUGUUUGGAGUAGGCAUUUCCUAAGAAAUGCCCCCCAC
rnacentral:lncRNA from 10 species